AGAACGAACGCUGGCGGCAGGCCUAACACAUGCAAGUCGAACGGAUCCUUCGGGAUUAGUGGCAGACGGGUGAGUAACGCGUGGGAAGCUACCUUGUGGUAGGGAACAACAGUUGGAAACGACUGCUAAUACCCUAUGAGCCCUAUGGGGGAAAGAUUUAUCGCCAUGAGAUGUGCCCGCGUUAGAUUAGCUAGUUGGUAAGGUAAUGGCUUACCAAGGCGACGAUCUAUAGCUGGUCUGAGAGGAUGAUCAGCCACACUGGGACUGAGACACGGCCCAGACUCCUACGGGAGGCAGCAGUGGGGAAUAUUGGACAAUGGGGGCAACCCUGAUCCAGCCAUGCCGCGUGAGUGAUGACGGCCUUAGGGUUGUAAAGCUCUUUCAGCAGUGAAGAUAAUGACAUUAACUGCAGAAGAAGCCCCGGCUAACUUCGUGCCAGCAGCCGCGGUAAUACGAAGGGGGCUAGCGUUGUUCGGAAUCACUGGGCGUAAAGCGUACGUAGGCGGACUGAUCAGUCAGGGGUGAAAUCCCGGGGCUCAACCCCGGAACUGCCUUUGAUACUGUCAGUCUUGAGAUCGAGAGAGGUGAGUGGAACUCCGAGUGUAGAGGUGAAAUUCGUAGAUAUUCGGAAGAACACCAGUGGCGAAGGCGGCUCACUGGCUCGAWAC
rnacentral:rRNA from 1 species